GAUCCUGGCUCAGGAUGAACGCUAGCUACAGGCUUAACACAUGCAAGUCGAGGGGGCAGCAUGGUCUUAGCUUGCUAAGGCCGAUGGCGACCGGCGCACGGGUGAGUAACGCGUAUCCAACCUGCCUUACACUCUUGGACAGCCUUCUGAAAAGGGAGAUUAAUACAAGACGUUAUCAUGAGUAAGCAUUUUCGCAUGAUUAAAGGUUUACCGGUGUAAGAUGGGGAUGCGUUCCAUUAG
rnacentral:rRNA from 1 species